GCGGGUGUAGCUCAAUGGUAGAGCGCUUGCUUCCCAAGCAAGAUACGCGGGUUCGAUUCCCGUCACCCGCU
rnacentral:tRNA from 7 species